GCCGAGAAGACUUGCGCGCAGGGGCGGUCUCGCGUUCUUUUCGAGGUCGGCCGCGUGGCUGGAAGACAUGGCCACUCCAGUCGGUGUUGAGCACGGCGAGCAGUCUCAGGCCUUUAGUGAUGAUGGUGCAGUCAGCCUCAGUUUCCAAAGCCGGAAAAGGAUCCUCUAGUAGCCACGGUGUGGCAGCUGCUCUGAACCAGGACCUGGACCCGGACCCAAAGUGCCAUGUCUUUAAUGUUAGCUCCCAGCGAUGCCAGAUGGGAUCAGCACAGCCCUGCCUCUGCUGCUAAUUGUUCCUCUAAAGUAAUCGCCAUGCGUUCUUUGGGCUUCAUCUUUAAAGGAAUGAAGCAACUGAGAUUAUUCUGGAAAACCUUUUGGCAGUUAGUGAAAUUAGAGUACAACUAAGAACAUUUUCAGACCUCCACUGUGGAUGACCUGGGUAUAAUCUCACAAAUCGAUGGGACUGCAAGGAUUGUAAACUGAAAUGAACAUGAUUAUACUCUGUUGGAAGAGCCUAAGAGGAAACUGAUGCCAUGAGUUUCAGAGAGUAAUGCUUAACCCCAGUUACACAGGAUGCCGUCUUGUGUUUCCUCUUGUUUAGUUACCCACUACAGUGAUUUUGUGAUCUGCUAAUGGGUUGCCACCCACAACCAUUGCUUUAGCACUUUUACUUCAAAUCAAUGAAGGAUUGAUAAAAGUUCUCCUGGUGUCUCCGCAGAGUGCCUUCCAGGAACAGAUCUUUGCAUAGAAUAUCAGUGGUUUCCUUUUUUGUUUCAAAUAGUGGUCAGAAAAUACCCAGUGUUGACUCACCAAGGCAAUCAGCUUCCUUUUUCCCUUUUUUUGUUUUUUUUUUAACAUUUUAUAUUUUUGCUUUAUUUUAUUUUAUUUUAUUUUAUUUUAUUUUAUUUUAUUUUAUUUUUUGAGACGGAGUUCCACUCUGUCGCCAGGCUGGAGUGAAGUGGUACAAUCUUGGCUCACUGCAACCUCCACCUCCCGGGUUCAAGCAAUUCUCCUGGCUCAGCCUCCUGAGUGCUGGGACUACAGGCGCGUACCUUCUUUAGUAGAGACUGGGUUUCACCAUGUUGGCCAGGAUGGUCUCUAUCUCCUGACCUUGUGAUCUGCCUGCCUCAGCUUCCCAAAGUGCUGAGAUGACAGGUGUGAGCCAUCAGACCCAGCAUUUUUUUUUUUAAUUUAAAUUUAAAUUUUUUUUCAUUUUUUUGAGAGGUUUUUUUUGUUUUGUUUUGUUGUUGUUGUUGUUGUUGUUUUUGAGACAGUCUUGCUCUGUCACCCAGGCUGGGAGUGCAGUGGCAUGAUCUCUGCAACCUCUACCUCCCAGGUUCAAGCAAUUCUUGUGCCUCAGCCUCCCAAGUAACUGGGACUACAGGUGCACGCUACCACACCUGGCUGAUUUUUUUUGUUUUAGUAGAGACAGGGUUUCAACCAUGUUGCCCAGGUUGGUCUCAAACUCCUGAGCUCAGGCAAUCCACCCGCCUUGGCCUCCCAAAGUGCUAGGAUUACAGGUGUGAGCCACCACACCCAGCUAUUUUUUCUUUCGUUUUUUAAUUUUAAAGUUGGGGGGGGGUCUCAAUUUGUUACCCUGGCUGGUCUCGAACUCCCGGACUUAAGCGAUCCUCUGGCUCCAAGCCCACUACCAGUCUCAGGUUUCUUUACUAAAAGAUCACUACCUUUUUUUCUCUUAUCUGCUGCCAUGUGAGAUGUGGCUUUCACCUUCCGCCAUGAUUGUGAGGCCUUCCCAGCCAUGUAGAACUGUAAGUCCAAUAAACCUCUUUUGUAAAUUAAAAAAAAAAAAUCACUAUUUAAGAUACUAGGAUGGAUUGUGACUGUUGAGGAGUACUUACAUAUCCUACAUUUGACUACAUUAUUUCCAAACCAAGUAUUCCAUCCAAAGGAACAUACUGCUAUCAUAGAGACCAAGGAGGGACUGUUUAAGGUUGCCAAGGUGAAGCGAGCUGAGAGGCUUUGUCCUCGUGCCAGUAACUCUGAAAUCUCUCUUAAUUCCUGCUGUCCAGGCAGCAGAAUGCCAUGGUUUCCCCAAGUAGGUAGCUGCUUUAGCAGUUAAAGCCCAAAUGUCUGUUCUGUUGAUCAGAGGUCUCUGAAUUUCUGAAGUGGUGUUUCGUUUCUGGUGACUGAGUUAAUCCUUUACAAUCCCUCUUGUAAAGUGUGCUAAUAGAAAGAAUCCACCUUUCAAAGCUGCAGAACCAGACCGUGCCCUAAAUUGACCAACGUAACUGAUGUGCCUCAGGAAGUCUCUUGCCAGCUGUCCCUGUGAAGACCCCCCUCCUCCCCCCCAGCUGCUGCCUUGCACACUGAAGCAUCUCAGACUGUGCAAAGCCGUGUAGUCAUCAAGACAGUAAAUCCCAGGGCUUGGUUAAGUGCUGUGUGAUAACUUGUUUGGAUGAGACUUAACUUAAAACCACUUACAAUAAACUUGGGAAACUACCGUCAGCUGAGUUC
rnacentral:lncRNA from 10 species